UACGUAGGGGGGCAAGCGUUGUCCGGAAUCAUUGGGCGUAAAGAGCGUGUAGGCGGUCCGGUAAGUCGGCUGUGAAAGUCCAGGGCUCAACCCUGGGAUGCCGGUCGAUACUGCCGGACUAGAGUUCGGAAGAGGCGAGUGGAAUUCCUGGUGUAGCGGUGAAAUGCGCAGAUAUCAGGAGGAACACCAAUUGCGAAGGCAGCUCGCUGGGACGUUACUGACGCUGAGACGCGAAAGCGUGGGGAGCAAACAGG
rnacentral:rRNA from 1 species